AAGAAUUCGUUCUCUCCAACCCACUUUUUAACAUGAACAGUCAUUUAUAAUAUUUAGGUACAUGAUAAUGAAAAAUAUAUAUAUUAUAUAUUAGGGUUUAUAUUAUUAAAAAAGGUAUAAAUAUGGAUAAGAAAGAUGGUGGAUCCAAGGUGGAUUAGACAGGGACAAUGUGGAGUGUACGGCUGACGUGGCGCAUCUGUAUCCUAGUAUCAUUCUGCUGUCGCUGUCGAAGCGUCACAGCCACUUGUUUUUUUGUGUGGAGGAGAUACGCUGCCCUAAUUUGCUGAAUUCAAAUACAUGCAUGUGCAUGUUGCCGUUUCAAUUCCUCCCAUGCACUUCACAUCCCAUCGCCAUCUUCCACCCAAUUCUUCAUAAUUAGUUUUUGAAAAAUAAACGUAGACUCUCCAAAAUUUAUGAAAAGAAAAAACAAAAGGUAAAUAUUCUAAACAAUUAUAUUGAAAGUAAUUAAAGAAAAAAAUUAAAUAAAAAUAAGAAAACAAACAAAAUUAUAUAAUGCAUGACUCUAAUAAAAAAUGAAAAAAAACUAUUCAAUCCAACAAAUAUAAAUGAAAUUGACUCUUAGCAGUGGUAUAUUAAUGCACGUUACUACUAUUCUUUACUUAGUACUUUUUUAUCGAUUAAAAAUAAAUAAUUUAAUUAAAAUAUUUAAGGGAUAUUUUAAUUUUAUAUAAAAAAAUAGAAGCAAGAUGCGCAGUAUCCAAAACACCAAUUUACUUAGUAUAUAAACAUAAAUAUUUAUAUAUUUUGUUACAUUACUAUUUAAUGUUAUUGGUUUGGUUCAAAAAAAAUCGUUGCAAGGGUACUCUUUAAAUCAAUUUAACUUUAUUAAUUUUUAAGGAUCACAUAGAGACUAGAGAUGAAUAUAUAUGUCCACUAGUAUAAAAUUUUUAUUUAUGAGAAUACAUUUAUAACAUUUUUACGAAUAGACGUUGUCUCUACACGGUGAUAUUUUUUAAAUUAAAUUCGUCUAAAACGAUAAAGUCGCCUUUUUUUAUGAAAUGUUUUGGACUAAAAUGAUGACUUUACACCAUAGCCGCCGUUUUAAAGUCUUUUUACUACACUAAUUCAUUGCGCGUAAGUUACGCUUUCAUAUUUUCUUAUCUUGUGACGAUUUGUUUUCCUCUUCUUUGCUCUUUAUGCUUCUUUUUCAUCUCGAGUCAUUGUCAUUUUCGGACCAUUGCCAUCUUCGAGCCAAUGUGUAAGUUUCUUUCGAGCUCUCUACUUCUUCUUCACCAUUGUUUAUUUGUUUAUUUUUGUUUCUCUUAUUUGUUUAUUUUCUCCAUUGUUGUGAAGGUUUUGAUACCUACUAAUGUUUCAUUGCCUUGCACGUUGUUCUUUGGGUUUUCACUGUGCCUCCAUUUGGUUCUUCGUUGCUGUCACUGCCAUUGCCAUUGUCGCCGCUCUUCACCACCACCAUUGUCUUCACUCACAAGGUUGGUGGUAUUUUAAAUUUUUUUAAUAUUUUUUUAGUGUUAUAAAUUUUUUUAUUUUUUAUUUAUUAUAAUUUAUAUUUUUUAAUUUUUUAAUUUUUUUUUUAGUUUUUAUGUUCGAGUAGAAUUAUUAAAUUAUUAGAUUGUAGAUAGUUUUAUAUUAUUUACUAUUUAUAAUUAAUUAAAUGAUUUUAAUUAGUAUAUUUAAUAUUUAUUAUAAUUUGUAUUUAUUAUUAAUUUAUAUUAUGUUAGUUGUUAGGUUAGAAUAAAAUUAUUGUUUUGGUAUUGAGUUUGAGGGUGUUCGAUCCUGGACGAUUGAUACGUGUUGGUAUUGAGUCUGAGAGUGUUCGACCCUCGAUAAUUGAUACCUGUUCUAUUGAGUCCAAAGAUGUUCGACUCUCGGCAAUUGAUACAUGUUGGUAUUGAGUCUGAGGGUGUUCGACCCUCGACAAAUGUGAGAUUUUACAAUCAUUAGUAAACACCUGAAUAACCACUACAGAACAUAAUAGAUCGAAAUUAGAUUAAUUAUGUUCACAUAAGUGAUGAGUAUUAAAGAGGAGUAAAAGAAUUUAUACAAUUUGUUCAACGUAAUGCCAAUAAUAGUGGUAAUGAUGGAGUAAAGAUUAGGUGUCUAUGCGUUAAUUGUUUGAAUGGAAGGAGAUUGAAUGUUAAGAAAAUCAUGGAGCACCUUCUAUGUGAUAAGUUUCUUUGAUCUUAUACAACUUGGACAUGACAUUGUGAAUUCUUGAAUUUACCACGUGUUUCCGUAUCUGAAGAAUAUGUGGGAUCCGAUGCAUUACAUGGUGAAGUACAUGAUGAUCGAUUGGAGGACAUGAUUCGUGAUGUGGGAGAUGAGUCUUUUGCAGAAGCGCAUGGAUAUAAACGUAUGUCAAGUUAUGCAAAGACUUCAUUGUAUCCUGGAUCAACUAACUUUACACGAUUUUCAGCGGUGUUAAGAUUGAUAAAUUUGAAGACAAUAAAUGGAUGGACUAAUAAAAGCUUCACGGAAUUGCUUCAAUUGUUGAAGGAUAUGCUUAUAGAGAAAAAUACUCUACCUAAUCGUAAUUAUGAGGCCAAAAAAAUGUUUUAUCUGAUGGGUAUGGAGUAUAAAAAGAUAUACAUGCAUGUCCUAAUGAUUGUAAAUUAUACAGGAAAUAUUUUAAAUUGUUGAAAAGUUGUCCGAGGUGUGAGUUAUCAUGUUAUAAGUUGAAACAAAAAGAUUAUGAUACUAUGGAAGAGAUAGAAAAGCAUGGACCCCAAUGAAGGUUAUGUGGUAUCUUCCCAUCAUUCUAAGGAUGAAGUGAUUGUUUUCAAACACAAAUGAUGCUAAGAAUCUUAAAUGACAUACAUAUGAGAGGAAAUGUGAUGGAAUGUACCGACAUCCAGCUGAUUCUAUUCAAUAUAAGAAAUUUGAUGACGAGUUUUCAGAGUUUGGUAAAGAAUCAAGAAAUAUCCGACUUGGUUUAGGUACAGACGGAAUGAAUCCGUUUAGUAAUAUGAGUACGAAUCACAGUUCAUGGCCUAUGGCCUAUUUUACUAGGAGUUGAAACUUGUUUAUUAAGCUUUUCUAUGCUAAUAUUUUUAGCAUUGAACUUUAUACGGUGCUCAAUAAUGUGCUUUUUUUUCUUCUCUUUCUUAGGAUGGUGACAUUAAAUUUGAACAUAUAAUAUCAAGCACCAGUUUUCCUUCCUGCAUUUAAUUGGUUUUGGUACACAUCUUUUCUUUUUAUCACUUUUGAUACUUCAUCUAGUUAGGAUUAUCAGCGAGAGGAACAUUUUGUCACACUCAAAUAUUGAGGUAGACAUUAUUUUAUUAUUUUAAUGUUACAUUAUACAGAAGUUCAUAAUCGACGACAUGAUUAAGGUCAACUCAUGUUUUGUUAUUUUUUGUCUCUCUCAAUGAGAAUUAUAAUUGAGGGGGCGAAUAACAAAAUCUAACAAGCUGGAUAUGGUAACUCGAAAUUCCUAGGAGUUCAUGAAUGAAUGAUUCGCCCAAAUAUGAUAUGAAUGCAAGCUUUUUUUCUUUCAUCCUUUAACUUUUUUCUUCUGCUUGCUAUUUACAGGGUUAACCCACCAAAUUCUUUCUUCUGCUUGGUAAUAACCCACCGACUUUCAGCUUUGAAUCAAUAACCACUAAACCAAUCCUUUGUGGACUAUAAUUUUAGCAAGUACUAUUGAUCAAUCUGGAUAACUUUCCAAGCUUCCCAUGUGCAAAUUAUGUGGGAAGAAAAGCUACACGCCAGAAAUCCUAAACAUUAAAGAAUAAAUUCUAGAAAGUGAAAAACAGAAAAUGAAGGUUAAGAAAAAGGAAACAGAAUAAGAUAACCUCAGGAAGAAAAAAAAUAGUAGCAAAUAGAGGUCGUGUAGCUACAAAAAAAUUCAUUGCUAAAGGUCAAUUUCAAACUUCCCACUUGUAUGGAAGCAGCUAGCGGGUUAACCGUGAGCUUGGUUCGAAUCAAUAGCCUCUAAACAUGAGUUUGAGUAGAAAGAAGCAAAGGCAAACAGCUGCUUUUUUCAGAAGCAACUCAUUGCUGUGAAUAUUGUGUCCUUGACGGUGACAGGUUAACCAAUGAAAGUUUAUUGGGAGUCACUGAACUCGUGUAGAACAGUUUUCAUAUGAUAUACAUUCAAUUUUUUUAACUAUAAAAAUUAAAAUAUCACUGUGUAGAUAAUGAUUGCUAAGAAUCAUCUAAUAAUUUUCUGAGGCUAGGAAUUAAAACAUGGAAUAUCAUUAGAUAAGAGUACUACAUAUAUAAUAAUUUUUCAUCAUACGUGAUUAGUUUACUUUUUUCCUCAUCUUUCAAAUUACCUACUUAUCUUAUAACAUUUAUUCACCUUUCUUUUUCUCUUCAUAUCUAUCAUCUGUGCUACUCCCUUUUCGAAUUAAAAAUCUAUGAACUGUCUUAAAUUUAAGUUAUGAAGAGUGUGAUACUCUGAGCUUAAAAAGAAUCACUUUAAUGAAAGGAUAAAUAAGACAACAACAAGCCAGUGAAAAGAAAGCAUGCCAGACUUGGACCACAGUGACAAACUCAACUCAUUACUAGACAACAGUCACCGUAAUGAAAUGAAUGUACAGGAAUAAAAACAAUCUCCUUAUAGCAACAACCAAGCACGCCAUAUAACCCGCUGUUACUCUCAAACCCUUAAUCUAUUCAGACCACGAAAAACCAACUACAUCAUCCAUGGCAACCCCCAGCCCCACCAGAUUAUCCCUUGCCAUGGAGAGAACCGGGCAAUGGUAAACACCACUCGGCUCCUUCAUUUUCAAUAUUCUCACGACUUAACUUAUUCUCCUAUGCACAGUUUCAAGAAUCAAUUAGUGAGUUGUGUUAAUGUUAGUUGUUAUGAGAAUAAAUUUCAUGAAUCAAUUGUUGUUGCAGGAUUUUCUCCCCAGAAAUUCCAACCGAUGUUAUUGUUGCAGUGGGAGAAGCCAAUUUUUCUCUCCACAAGGUACCAAAAUUUUGCACUGUUGCAAGGAACUUCAUCAAUUCUUCUUAUAUAUGUGAUUUUGGGUAUUGAAUUUGUAAGUGUUGGAUUUGUUAACAGUUUAUUCUGGCCGCAAAAAGCAACUCCAUCAGAAAGGUCAUAAUGGAAUCAGAGGAGAGUGACUUAACCAGAAUAGACCUCACGAACAUACCUGGAGGCCAAGAAGCUUUCGAGAAAGUAGUGAAGUUUUGUUACGGCGUCAACUUCGAGAUCACCGUUCACAACGUCGCUCCACUGCACUGCGCCGCCGUAUUCCUCCAGAUGACCGACGAGUAUUGCGACGGAAACCUUGCCG
rnacentral:lncRNA from 1 species